AUUCCAGCUCCAAUAGCGUAUAUUAAAGUUGUUGCAGUUAAAAAGCUCGUAGUUGGAUUUCUGGUGCAUUCCACUGGCCUAUUGGUUAACUCCAACUUGGCUCAUUUGGAAUACGCCAUCUUUAGGCAGACCCGUCGUGGCAUUAGGUUGUCGUGAUGGUUACGCCUAUCGUUUACUGUGAAGAAAUUAGGGUGUUCAAAGCAGGCUUAUGCCAUGAAUACGUUAGCAUGGAAUAAUGAGAUAGGAUUUCGGUACUAUUUUGUUGGUUUGUGUACGGAAAUAAUGAUUAACAGGAACAGUGUUGUGGGUAUUCGUAUUUCGUUGUCAGAGGUGAAAUUCUUGGAUUUACGAAAGACGAACGACUGCGAAAGCAUUUACCAAGGAUGUUUUCAUCA
rnacentral:rRNA from 1 species